rnacentral:lncRNA from 14 species
ACCUCAAGAUCAUCUAGUUCCAACCCCCCUGCCAUGGGCAGGGACACCUCACACUAAACCAUAUCACCCAAGGCUUCAUCCAAGCUGGUCUUGUGCCGCGGCCAGGUGGAGGGGAGAAAACACCGAUACGAUGUAGGUUCACGAAAUGCUCCGUUUAAGGCUGCUCUUAAUAUACUGUCUUACACGCGAUCACGCAUUACUUGAUUGGCUGCUUUGCUUUGCCCACGAGGGAUACACGCUCCCCUUUACCUCUCCUGAUUGGUUUCACACCUUCGCUUCAGCUUAGCGUUACAUCAUGCUUCUGCAAUUACUGGCAUCCUGUUAUUGCAUUCCUGUUUUGCUGAUCUUGACACUUCUUCUUCUUUAACCUGGGUCAUAAGUUCACUUUCUCACAGCUUGCUGUAGGCCUGUUCAAGCGCCCAUGCUCGACCCCCAACAUCUCCCCCUCUUUUUUCAAUAAAGCGUUAGUCAUAAUACAUUGUAACAAACAAGGUCCAAAAAACAAAAUUAACAACAUAAUCGUUAUUGGUCCGCUAAACAUCAUGAUUAAACUCCUUAACCAACUACUUAUUCCUAAUGAUUUUAACGAAGAGUCUAUAGAAUUUGUUUCUACAGUAUUUUCUUUAAGUUCAAACAAUUUCUUGUGAAUAGAUUCAGAAUGAUCAGAAAGAUUCAUACAACACAUGCCCAGAAGCAUUCUAAUGCAAAGGGGAUGUGAAGCAGCUGCAGAAGUAAACUGUACAGUGUUAACAGUCAAGGAGUUACACUCCCCUUUUUUUUGAUCAGACAAAAAGCCAUUUAUUGCAAAGCACUAAUUCCUUAUAUACUAUUGCUUACACACACCUACAGCAAUUUGGCAUAUCAUGAUUGGAUACUCGUCCUGAAGACCCUUAGUGACUAAUGUAUAAUUGGUUAAGCACAGGUGUGAGAACUUGACCUCGAACGCUUGCCAACAGUCCACAGUUCUCAUAACUCAGUGAAUUCCAGCUUCUUCUUAUCUUGCUUGCUUAGGCUUCCUCAGGCCUCUCACGGCCUUGCUGUAUCCCUCAGAGUUAUUCAGACUUCAUGUACCAAAUAUUCAUUUUCCUGUGAGAACACUGUCUCCACAUCUCCCCCUUUUCAGUUUUACGAAAAGUUAUUGACAAUUUAUUGUGUCUGCUCUAUCACUGCUUGACUUGUGUAACAUAACAACCCACUACUCUAGGUAGCAUUAUUUCAGUAAGAUUAGUCUGAUUUGAAGUCACUUGAACCUUUAUAACAUGUGGCAUACCAGUGAAUCCUACACACCAUGUAACAGGUUGGAAUAGUUGGGAUUACAAAGAUUUUACACAGAUUUCUAUCACUGCUGUUUCUUUAUGUUGUUCUGCAGCUUUAUACUUUUCGCUGGCAGUCAAUAUGGUCCUGUUGAUAGCUGUACACAGCUGGGCCUACCCUUUUUCUCCUGUAUGGCUCUCUGAUAACAGCGGAGGCCAUCCCUCACA